rnacentral:rRNA from 1 species
GAGGAAUAUUGGUCAAUGGUCGCAAGACUGAACCAGCCAUGCCGCGUGCAGGAUGACGGUCCUAUGGAUUGUAAACUGCUUUUGUACGGGAAGAAACACUCCUACGUGUAGGGGCUUGACGGUACCGUAAGAAUAAGGAUCGGCUAACUCCGUGCCAGCAGCCGCGGUAAUACGGAGGAUCCGAGCGUUAUCCGGAAUCAUUGGGUUUAAAGGGGUCCG